AAAUUGAAGAGUUUGAUCAUGGCUCAGAUUGAACGUUGGCGGCAGGCCUUAUACAUGCAAGUCGAACGGUAACAGCAGAGCUUGCUCUGGCUGACGAGUGGCGGACGGGUGAGUAACGCGUAGGAAUCUACCCAGUAGCGGGGGAUAGCCCGGG
rnacentral:rRNA from 1 species